UUUGGAUGUGGGCUCAGACAUUAGGAGCAGGCAGUAUCUUUUCUUUUUCUUUUUCUUUCUUUCUUUUUUUUUUUUUUUGACAGGAUGGGCUGGGGUUGGGGGAGGAGGAAGCAAGAAUUAAGCAGAGAAGGCAAGCUCCUUUCUGUUCAUCUAACUCAAACUGACGAGUCAUUGAGCUGACUCCAAUCAGCAGGAUCCCCUGGUCGCCUGACUCAGGCCUCCCCAGUCAGAGGUAGAGUCUGCGGUGGACAGACAGACAGGUCUGGAGAGGCUGGUAAGUAAGAACUCCCCGAGUGCCUCCGCCAAGAACCGAUUUGAAGAGGUUGCCAUUCACUCUGUCAGGCUGCGUGUGGGAUUCAUCAGGACCCAGCCUCGCUUUCUUUCACCCCGCAUCAAUGUGCCCUAAAGGAUUUUUCUUUAAACCUGAUUGCUUGGAAGGCAUUCAACCCUGGUUACCAUCUGGUCGGCUGGACCAUGAAUGUUUCAAGGGCAAGGCCAUGUCUGAUUCAAUUCCACAUCCACAGCACGUAAAGCAACGUCUGGCAGAGCAAAGAACUCACCCAUCAAUUGAAUGACAUCAUGGCCAAUCUACGAGUUCUGGCUUACUUCUCAUGCUAUUAUCACAUCUGCCAAGGCCAUUCCUGCUUACCCAAGGAAGAUGAGUGAACAGUCAGCACUCAGUUUAUAAUACGAGCAUGAUGAACUGAUACAUCUCCAGCCAAAAAUGGUGGUAAGAAAAAUUCUUUUCAGUUCUCUUAGCAUGGUGGCCCUAUUAUGGGUAUAAUAUGAUUUCCUUGAAGUCUUGUAAAAUU
rnacentral:lncRNA from 1 species